AACGAACGCUGGCGGCAGGCUUAACACAUGCAAGUCGAACGAGAUCUUUGGAUCUAGUGGCAGACGGGUGAGGAACACGUGGGAACAUCCCUUUCAGUUCGGAAUAACGUUGGGAAACUAACGCUAAUACCGGAUACGUCCUUCGGGAGAAAGAUUUAUCGCUGAAAGAUUGGCCCGCGUCUGAUUAGCUAGUUGGUGAGGUAAUGGCUCACCAAGGCUACGAUCAGUAGCUGGUCUGAGAGGAUGAUCAGCCACAUUGGGACUGAGACACGGCCCAAACUCCUACGGGAGGCAGCAGUGGGGAAUAUUGGACAAUGGGCGCAAGCCUGAUCCAGCCAUGCCGCGUGAGUGAUGACGGCCUUCGGGUUGUAAAGCUCUUUUGUCCGGGAAGAUAAUGACUGUACCGGAAGAAUAAGCCCCGGCAAACUUCGUGCCAGCCGCCGCGGUAA
rnacentral:rRNA from 1 species